CCUACGGGAGGCAGCAGUGGGGAAUAUUGGACAAUGGGCGAAAGCCUGAUCCAGCAAUGCCGCGUGAGUGAUGAAGGCCUUAGGGUUGUAAAGCUCUUUUACCCGGGAUGAUAAUGACAGUACCGGGAGAAUAAGCUCCGGCUAACUCCGUGCCAGCAGCCGCGGUAAUACGGAGGGAGCUAGCGUUAUUCGGAAUUACUGGGCGUAAAGCGCACGUAGGCGGCUUUGUAAGUAAGAGGUGAAAGCCCAGAGCUCAACUCUGGAAUUGCCUUUUAGACUGCAUCGCUUGAAUCAUGGAGAGGUCAGUGGAAUUCCGAGUGUAGAGGUGAAAUUCGUAGAUAUUCGGAAGAACACCAGUGGCGAAGGCGGCUGACUGGACAUGUAUUGACGCUGAGGUGCGAAAGCAUGGGGAGCAAACAGGAUUAGAUACCCUGGUAGUCCACGCCGUAAACGAUGAUAACUAGCUGUCCGGACACUUGGUGUUUGGGUGGCGCAGCUAACGCAUUAAGUUAUCCGCCUGGGGAGUACGGCCGCAAGGUUAAAACUCAAAAUGAAUUGACGG
rnacentral:rRNA from 1 species